AAUUCUCAACCAUCCCUCGAUUCGUUUCGAGGGUUUGGCUUGGAUUUUGGGGGCUGCCGGGCGACCCUAGGGUCUUCGGCUCUCCUUAAAAGCAUUAGCGAUGGCGGCGCGAUCUAACCCCCCCCAUGCAUGAACGGCCUUCGACGUGAUAAUGAUCGUCGUGGCUGGAGUGUUGUUAGUGGGUGUCGUGAAGUCGGCGCUUCUAAAGACCUCGUCGAAAGACGAAAACUCGAA
rnacentral:misc_RNA from 1 species